UGGAGUGUAGUUUAGUUGGUAAAACAUCGGUCUCUGAAAUCGAGGUCUCUGGUUCGAACCCAGCCGCUCCAGCCA
rnacentral:tRNA from 1 species